GAUGAACGCUGGCGGCGUGCUUAACACAUGCAAGUCGAACGGUGAAGCCAAGCUUGCUUGGUGGAUCAGUGGCGAACGGGUGAGUAACACGUGAGCAACCUGCCCUGGACUCUGGGAUAAGCGCUGGAAACGGCGUCUAAUACUGGAUAUGAGCUCUCAUCGCAUGGUGGGGGUUGGAAAGAUUUUUCGGUCUGGGAUGGGCUCGCGGCCUAUCAGCUUGUUGGUGAGGUAAUGGCUCACCAAGGCGUCGACGGGUAGCCGGCCUGAGAGGGUGACCGGCCACACUGGGACUGAGACACGGCCCAGACUCCUACGGGAGGCAGCAGUGGGGAAUAUUGCACAAUGGGCGGAAGCCUGAUGCAGCAACGCCGCGUGAGGGAUGACGGCCUUCGGGUUGUAAACCUCUUUUAGCAGGGAAGAAGCGAGAGUGACGGUACCUGCAGAAAAAGCGCCGGCUAACUACGUGCCAGCAGCCGCGGUAAUACGUAGGGCGCAAGCGUUAUCCGGAAUUAUUGGGCGUAAAGAGCUCGUAGGCGGUUUGUCGCGUCUGCUGUGAAAUCCCGAGGCUCAACCUCGGGCCUGCAGUGGGUACGGGCAGACUAGAGUGCGGUAGGGGAGAUUGGAAUUCCUGGUGUAGCGGUGGAAUGCGCAGAUAUCAGGAGGAACACCGAUGGCGAAGGCAGAUCUCUGGGCCGUAACUGACGCUGAGGAGCGAAAGGGUGGGGAGCAAACAGGCUUAGAUACCCUGGUAGUCCACCCCGUAAACGUUGGGAACUAGUUGUGGGGACCAUUCCACGGUUUCCGUGACGCAGCUAACGCAUUAAGUUCCCCGCCUGGGGAGUACGGCCGCAAGGCUAAAACUCAAAGGAAUUGACGGGGACCCGCACAAGCGGCGGAGCAUGCGGAUUAAUUCGAUGCAACGCGAAGAACCUUACCAAGGCUUGACAUAUACGAGAACGGGCCAGAAAUGGUCAACUCUUUGGACACUCGUAAACAGGUGGUGCAUGGUUGUCGUCAGCUCGUGUCGUGAGAUGUUGGGUUAAGUCCCGCAACGAGCGCAACCCUCGUUCUAUGUUGCCAGCACGUAAUGGUGGGAACUCAUGGGAUACUGCCGGGGUCAACUCGGAGGAAGGUGGGGAUGACGUCAAAUCAUCAUGCCCCUUAUGUCUUGGGCUUCACGCAUGCUACAAUGGCCGGUACAAAGGGCUGCAAUACCGUGAGGUGGAGCGAAUCCCAAAAAGCCGGUCCCAGUUCGGAUUGAGGUCUGCAACUCGACCUCAUGAAGUCGGAGUCGCUAGUAAUCGCAGAUCAGCAACGCUGCGGUGAAUACGUUCCCGGGUCUUGUACACACCGCCCGUCAAGUCAUGAAAGUCGGUAACACCUGAAGCCGGUGGCCCAACCCUUGUGGAGGGAGCCGUCGAAGGUGGGAUCGGU
rnacentral:rRNA from 1 species